AACCGUGUACGUACAAGCAGUGGGAGCCCCACCACCAAAGCAUUUUCUGGUGUUGAGGACAACUUUGAAGUGACAUUCAACACGCGUUGGCGGAGCGUUUUUUGCGACGCCCAACACACAAAACAAGUAGUGAAUGUGCUUUGGGGUGGGGUGACUGCGUACCUUUUGUAUAAUGGGUCAGCGACUUAUAUUCUGUAGCAAGGUUAACCGUAUAGGGGAGCCGUAGGGAAACCGAGUCUUAACUGGGCGAAUGAG
rnacentral:rRNA from 1 species